AAGAACCUUAAGCAAGGUCAUGGAAUUUCCGGACUAGAAGAUCCCAAACUCGACAAACCCUCCGGGCUUCCAGAGACAAAGAACAGAAGCCCCGAGAGGAAGACCGGGUCAUUCUGGGAAUUAGAAGCAGAGGCUACCUAGACACCGCAUCCUCCAAAGGGAGGCCACGGACGAAACCGCCGCCCCUGGUGCGGCGCUCGGAGAGCUGCUCCCCGGCUGCUCCCGCCCGCCACCUCCACACUCAGAGGCAGUGCUGGGCGGCCGGGGCGAGACAUCGGGCGCGGCGGGUACAGACGCUUGGCGCGCGAGGAAAGAGUGCCCCAAGAAUUAUUAAGAGAAUUGAAAGAAACUGGGUGAAGCGCUUAGCAUGGUGACACAGAGCACUCAAUGCCUAGAACCCAUCACAGUUCCCUGCCUACAGUAAGAAUCUGAUGAAUGAACACCAGAAAUAAGGGGGAAAAACCUAUGGUGACAGACAUCAGAAAGGUGGUUUCCUCCGGCGAGAAACAGUCCCCGUUUGAGGCAUGAAGGAGUCUGUGAAGGUGAUGAAAUGUUUUCUCUUGAUCUGGUGGCAGCUACAUAGAUAUUUAAACAUGCAGAACUUCACUGAGCUGUACAGUCACACCUCUCAACUAGAGUAGUGACCACUUCUCAUCAAGCAUGCUGGCAGCACAGAAAGCAAACCCAGCCUGGAAUCUGCGGUUCCGAGUCCUCGGGUCGAAGCACAAACCUCCUCAGGGUUUACUGGGUGUUCCAGGAAUGGGGCAGCAGGAAGAGGGGAGCCCUGAGGAGCCUCUAGAUGAAGACAGAUGGGCAAAGAGGGAAAUCUGUGGAUGCCGGCAAAGAAGACUGCAGCCACCGUGGUGGCAGACAGGGACAGCUAAGGUGCAGGAGAAUCUCUGCUGAAGGGAGGCACCCAGUGAGCAAAGGGCAUUUCCCAAGCAGACACUGGGGACUGAUGAACCCAGAACAGAAGAGCCUCCCGUGAGCCUCUGCUCUGUUUAAGACCAAGGGGCUGAAGGGCAGAUUCCAGGUGCCUGAAAGGACCUGACUAUUAAGGCAGGAUGGCAUCACUGUCAAAAUAAAUUUGCUGUAAAGAACAUA